AACUUUGAGCAAUGGAUCACUUGGUUCUGGCAUCGAUGAAGAACGCAGCGAAAUGCGAUAAGUAAAGUGAAUUGCAGAAUUCAGUGAAUCAUCGAAUCUUUGAACGCACCUUGCACCCUUUGGUAUUCCAAAGGGUAUGCUCGUUUGAGUGUCAUUGUACUCUCAUACUCUCUGAUCUUAGGGUUGGGAGUGGUGGACUUGGGUGUUGCUGCUUCACUGUGGCGCACCUGAAAUGCAUUAUUGCAAGUGUUGACUAACCAUAGUAUGGCAUGAUAAGCAUCUUUGCCAGCACCUCUCCGGAGGGUGGUCAGUCAAGAGCUCUGUGCUUCUAACUGUCUUUGGACAAUGUUGACAACUUGACCUCAAAUCGAGUAGGACUACCCGCUGAACUUAAGCAUAUCAAUAAGCGGAGGCU
rnacentral:misc_RNA from 1 species